GGUCACUAAUGUAAAGCGCUUUGGGUGCCUUGAAAAGCGCUAUAGAAAUCUAGUCCAUUAUGAUCCAUUGUAGCUCUUAUUGUCGCUAGACUUCCUGUUUGGUGGAGACAGGGUUGAAAUCCUGAAUCAGCUUUACAGCCCUCUCUGCACAAUUAUUGACAACUUUGAGAUUCUGAACAAUGUUUUUGGCAGCUACAAAUACCUCUGCAUGAGACCAGUCUUUUGGAUCCAUGUCAAACAAAGCUUGAGGAUUGUUGUAGAAAGUGAACAGAUGAAGGCUGUUGUUGGUGAUGAAAUUGCUUGUGGGUUUAGACACAAUGUUGUCCACUGCCACUGACAGUCACUUUGGUGGACGCAUAACCAAAAUAACAUCCAACUGCGACACCAUUAAAUAUAGUGGAAAUGGCCUAAAAUUUUAUGUGGCAGGUUUUUUAGUCAAAAGGAACAUAAUUACAGCCUGGCCCAUUUAAAACAAUAAUUGUAAUUUUUUUGGUACUUUUAAGACACGCCCUAGAAAAUGCAUUAAAUCUG